rfam:Brassica oleracea var. oleracea cultivar TO1000 chromosome C9, whole genome shotgun sequence
GGAAUAUAAGAACCCGUAUCUUAACUUUUAAUUAAAAAAGUUAAGAACCGGUUCUUAAAUAAGAGUUUUAAGAGACGGUUCUUAGCUUUUUUAGUUAAAAGUUAAGAGACAAGUUCUUAUAUUCC